CCUUCGAUAGCUCAGCUGGUAGAGCGGAGGACUGUAGAGAGAUCUCAGGGAUCCUUAGGUCACUGGUUCGAUUCCGGUUCGAAGGA
rnacentral:tRNA from 1 species